rnacentral:rRNA from 1 species
AAAUUGAAGAGUUUGAUCAUGGCUCAGAUUGAACGCUGGCGGCAGGCCUAACACAUGCAAGUCGAACGGUAACAGGAAGAAGCUUGCUUCUUUGCUGACGAGUGGCGGACGGGUGAGUAAUGUCUGGGAAACUACCUGAUGGAGGGGGAUAACUACUGGAAACGGUAGCUAAUACCGCAUAACGUCGCAAGACCAAAGAGGGGGACCUUCGGGCCUCUUGCCAUCGGAUGUGCCCAGAUGGGAUUAGCUAGUAGGUGGGGUAACGGCUCACCUAGGCGACGAUC